UCCUACGGGGGGCAGCAGUGGGGAAUAUUGGUCAAUGGGCGAGAGCCUGAACCAGCCAAGUCGCGUGAGGGAAGACGGUCCUAUGGAUUGUAAACCUCUUUUGCCGGGGAGCAAAAAGCGGUACGUGUACCGCAUCGAGAGUACCCGGAGAAAAAGCAUCGGCUAACUCCGUGCCAGCAGCCGCGGUAAUACGGAGGAUGCGAGCGUUAUCCGGAUUUAUUGGGUUUAAAGGGUGCGCAGGCGGCGAGUUAAGUCAGCGGUAAAAUUUCGGGGCUCAACCCCGACAAGCCGUCGAAACUGGCUUG
rnacentral:rRNA from 1 species